rnacentral:rRNA from 1 species
CCCUUAGAUGUCCUGGGCCGCACGCGCGCUACACUGAUGCACUCAACGAGUUUACGACCUUGCCCGAUAGGGUUGGGUAAUCUUUUUAAAAUGCAUCGUGAUGGGGAUAGAUUAUUGCAAUUAUUAAUCUUCAACGAGGAAUUCCUAGUAAGCGCGAGUCAUCAGCUCGUGCUGAUUACGUCCCUGCCCUUUGUACACACCGCCCGUCGCUCCUACCGAUUGAGUGCUCAGGUGAAUAAUUCGGACUGCAGCAAUGUUUGGAUCCCGAACGUUGCAGCGGAAAGUUUAGUGAACCUUAUCACUUAGAGGAAGGAGAAGUCGUAACA